UGGGGAAUAUUGCACAAUGGGCGCAAGCCUGAUGCAGCCAUGCCGCGUGUAUGAAGAAGGCCUUCGGGUUGUAAAGUACUUUCAGUCGGGAGGAAGGUGUCAAGGUUAAUAACCUUGGCAAUUGACGUUACCGACAGAAGAAGCACCGGCUAACUCCGUGCCAGCAGCCGCGGUAAUACGGAGGGUGCAAGCGUUAAUCGGAAUUACUGGGCGUAAAGCGCACGCAGGCGGUUGAUUGAGUCAGAUGUGAAAUCCCCGGGCUUAACCCGGGAAUUGCAUCUGAUACUGGUCAGCUAGAGUCUUGUAGAGGGGAGUAGAAUUCCAUGUGUAGCGGUGAAAUGCGUAGAGAUCUGGAGGAAUACCGGUGGCGAAGGCGGCCCCCUGGACGAAGACUGACGCUCAGGUGCGAAAGCGUGGGGAGCAAACAGG
rnacentral:rRNA from 1 species